rnacentral:rRNA from 1 species
UACGGGGGGGGCAAGCGUUGUUCGGAAUUACUGGGCGUGAAGGGCUUGUAGGUGGCCAACUAAGUCAGACGUGAAAUCCCUCGGCUUAACCGGGGAACUGCGUCUGAUACUGGAUGGCUGGAGUGUGGGAGAGGGAUGCGGAAUUCCAGGUGUAGCGGUGAAAUGCGUAGAUAUCUGGAGGAACACCGGUGGCGAAGGCGGCAUCCUGGACCAUUACUGACACUGAAAAGCGAAAGCCAGGGGAGCAAACGGG